rnacentral:tRNA from 1 species
UAGAAAAACAGGACUCGAACCUGCACCAAAAGGCUCAAAACCCUCUGCACUCCCGCUAUACUAUUUUCU